rnacentral:rRNA from 1 species
GAUGAACGCUGGCGGCGUGCCUAAUACAUGCAAGUCGAGCGAACAGACGAGGAGCUUGCUCCUCUGACGUUAGCGGCGGACGGGUGAGUAACACGUGGAUAACCUACCUAUAAGACUGGGAUAACUUCGGGAAACCGGAGCUAAUACCGGAUAAUAUAUUGAACCGCAUGGUUCAAUAGUGAAAGACGGUUUUGCUGUCACUUAUAGAUGGAUCCGCGCCGCAUUAGCUAGUUGGUAAGGUAACGGCUUACCAAGGCAACGAUGCGUAGCCGACCUGAGAGGGUGAUAGGCCACACGGGAACUGAGACACGGUCCAGACUCCUAAGGGAGGCAGCAGUAGGGAAUCUUCCGCAAUGGGCGAAAGCUUGACGGAGCAACGCCGCGUGAGUGAUGAAGGUCUUCGGAUCGUAAAACUCUGUUAUUAGGGAAGAACAAAUGUGUAAGUAACUAUGCACGUCUUGACGGUACCUAAUCAGAAAGCCACGGCUAACUACGUG